CCCUUAGAUGUCCUGGGCCGCACGCGCUACACUGAUGCAUGCAACGAGUUUAUAACCUUGGCCUGAAAGGUCUGGGUAAUCUUUUGAACGUGCAUCGUGAUAGGGAUAGAUUAUUGCAAUUGUUAAUCUUGAACGAGGAAUUCCUAGUAAACGCGAGUCAUCAGCUCGCAUUGAUUACGUCCCUGCCCUUUGUACACACCGCCCGUCGCACCUACCGAUUGAAUGGUUCGGUGAAGAUCUCGGACUUCGAUAUUUAUUCUUUAUUGAGUUUAUAUUGUGGGAAGUUAUCUAAACCUCAUCAUUUAGAGGAAGGUGAAGUCGUAACA
rnacentral:rRNA from 1 species